AGAAACGAUUAUCUAUGGAGAGAAAAACUUCACAAAGGAACUCACCUCUCUCUCUUUGAACCGCAUCAAGAUCUUCCUCAUCAACCUUCAAUCUUAAAUCUUCUAUCUACUACAACAGUAUCAUCAACUCUUCAACCAUCUUAUUCUCUACAACUCUUCUCAGCGUCUGCAUCGCAUCAACACCAUCAUUCAAUCUUCAUCUCAAAUCCGAGUUUAUUUCUCAGAUUAUAUCUCUGCAACAUCAAGAACACAUCAAAUCGUCAUCCUCGCGUUAACUCGGUUCUUCAACAACAACGUAGAGGAAUGAGAUGUAGAAGAAUCAGAAUCAGAAAAGAAAAGCGUACCUGA